rnacentral:rRNA from 1 species
UUGAACGCUGGCGGCAGGCCUAACACAUGCAAGUCGAGCGGUAGCACAGAGAGCUUGCUCUCGGGUGACGAGCGGCGGACGGGUGAGUAAUGUCUGGGAAACUGCCUGAUGGAGGGGGAUAACUACUGGAAACGGUAGCUAAUACCGCAUAAUGUCGCAAGACCAAAGUGGGGGACCUUCGGGCCUCAUGCCAUCAGAUGUGCCCAGAUGGGAUUAGCUAGUAGGUGGGGUAACGGCUCACCUAGGCGACGAUCCCUAGCUGGUCUGAGAGGAUGACCAGCCACACUGGAACUGAGACACGGUCCAGACUCCUACGGGAGGCAGCAGUGGGGAAUAUUGCACAAUGGGCGCAAGCCUGAUGCAGCCAUGCCGCGUGUGUGAAGAAGGCCUUCGGGUUGUAAAGCACUUUCAGCGGGGAGGAAGGCGUUAAGGUUAAUAACCUUGGCGAUUGACGUUACCCGCAGAAGAAGCACCGGCUAACUCCGUGCCAGCAGCCGCGGUAAUACGGAGGGUGCGAGCGUUAAUCGGAAUUACUGGGCGUAAAGCGCACGCAGGCGGUCUGUCAAGUCGGAUGUGAAAUCCCCGGGCUCAACCUGGGAACUGCAUUCGAAACUGGCAGGCUAGAGUCUUGUAGAGGGGGGUAGAAUUCCAGGUGUAGCGGUGAAAUGCGUAGAGAUCUGGAGGAAUACCGGUGGCGAAGGCGGCCCCCUGGACAAAGACUGACGCUCAGGUGCGAAAGCGUGGGGAGCAAACAGGAUUAGAUACCCUGGUAGUCCACGCCGUAAACGAUGUCGAUUUGGAGGUUGUGCCCUUGAGGCGUGGCUUCCGGAGCUAACGCGUUAAAUCGACCGCCUGGGGAGUACGGCCGCAAGGUUAAAACUCAAAUGAAUUGACGGGGGCCCGCACAAGCGGUGGAGCAUGUGGUUUAAUUCGAUGCAACGCGAAGAACCUUACCUGGUCUUGACAUCCACAGAACUUUCCAGAGAUGGAUUGGUGCCUUCGGGAACUGUGAGACAGGUGCUGCAUGGCUGUCGUCAGCUCGUGUUGUGAAAUGUUGGGUUAAGUCCCGCAACGAGCGCAACCCUUAUCCUUUGUUGCCAGCGGUCCGGCCGGGAACUCAAAGGAGACUGCCAGUGAUAAACUGGAGGAAGGUGGGGAUGACGUCAAGUCAUCAUGGCCCUUACGACCAGGGCUACACACGUGCUACAAUGGCAUAUACAAAGAGAAGCGACCUCGCGAGAGCAAGCGGACCUCAUAAAGUAUGUCGUAGUCCGGAUUGGAGUCUGCAACUCGACUCCAUGAAGUCGGAAUCGCUAGUAAUCGUAGAUCAGAAUGCUACGGUGAAUACGUUCCCGGGCCUUGUACACACCGCCCGUCACACCAUGGGAGUGGGUUGCAAAAGAAGUAGGUAGCUUAACCUUCGGGAGGGCGCUUACCACUUUGUGAUUCAUGACUGGGGUG